AUGAGCGUCACACGCCCGAACAGGGACUUGAACCCUGGACCCUCAGAUUAAAAGUCUGAUGCUCUACCGACUGAGCUAUCCGGGCUCCACAACAGUAGUUUACAAGUAGGCAAGGUUUGGGUUGUGGUCGGCGCAGACCUUUACAGUACACUAAAGUUUACCGUGAGAUGGGGUUUUAAGCUUAUGGUUGGUGUGGAUGUUGCUAAAACACGACAGGUUACUUUGAGGUUGGGUUUAUGGUUUUUGUAGGUGUAGACAUCAGUACAACACAAUAGUUUGGACUUCAUGUCAUGUAGGAGACAUUAAAUAGAUCAAUGAUGAGGACUUCCGAAUGUCUUUCUGCUGUUGUGGCAAUGAAUGGACACUCAACAAUUGAAAAGAUUCCUUCCAUGCCUUAGAAGCGUGACUUGAUCAGUACUUAUCUACACAGCAUGCUGGCAUCAAAGAUCCUAUUUCUCUUAUAUCAUAUCCCUAGUCUUCCACACUUUAGGAAACGUAAACAUUCAGGACGUGCCAUUAGCACAGCCUGCACUAAAAGAAGACUAGAGAUAACGGAUGGCAACACAGAGUGCGACACCAACGUCACCUUGAAAAACCUGCCGUGACCCGGGUUCGAACCGGGGUUGCUGCGGCCACAACGCAGAGUACUAACCACUAUACGAUCACGGCGAGCUACAGGAUUGCCGCUGUGGCUUUUGUGUGGUAUGUUCCUUCAUGUGAUAUGCCCCU
ensembl:processed_transcript